rnacentral:sRNA from 1 species
GGCCAUAUCUCCUCCCACGGUAAAGAAAAUGCGAAAAAAUGGAGAUGUUGGUCAAUGCUGAGACACAAUUGACACAAGAACAACAGACUCAAGCACCAAAUUCUAAAAGCGACCCACAACACGACUCAACACAGAAAUAAACAACAAUCAAAAGUGCGGGACACUAACAACACCUCCAAAAUUCCAAUUCUACUGGCUACUUGUAUCUAAUGAAAUCUUAAAACAUUGAAUGAACAACAAAUACAAUAAACAAUUACAACAACAUUGAGUUAAAA